GUUUUUUAAAUUGUCUCUUUAGUGCUACAAAUAUCAAAACAUUCUGUGAACUAACGAGGCAUGAAAUGGUUAUUAUGCAGGAGCUGCAGCAUGUGCCAGAUAUUCUGUGGUAGUGCAUGUGCUACCUUCAAUGCUAAAAACCUGCUAAAGUGUGUACUUCUCUACUCUGUCCUCACUGCAUGGGAGGCUAGAGUCUUGACUGGGUCCUGAUGUGCCUGGGUGCUGGCAUAAGGCCAGAGACUGUAUUGACAGUGGAGAUGAAGGCUAAACCAAUUGCUCCACUCGAGAGAUGUUGGAACCUCUGAUUUUGGAGAGAUUGCAAUCCAUUUUGAGUAGGUAUGCUGAAUUUGAUUGCUUAUUUACUUUGGAGUCUGGAGAUGCACUGUAGAGUAAAAGUAGUUUCAUAUUUUAUUUUACAUGAUUCUGGAAAUCAUCCUUCACAAAUACCAUCUUAAGAGUGGAUGGCAAAUGAAAUAAGACAGUUGGUAACUAAAAUCAUCAGUUUUACUGUUUUUACCACCAUAUUCUGAUGCUUGCAUGUUUUGUUCUUCUCACAAUGAAGCUAAAUGAAAACCUCUGAGAAAGAGUUCCUUCUAAUGUAGCAUAAUGAAGUCUUUAAAUGGGUACAGUUGUAGGUCAUCAUGAAUAGGAAUGCAGUGACCUUUGUCUUGACAAUGAAGCUGGCACAAGCUUCUCAAAGAGCUGUUCUUUUUUUUUUUUUUUUAUUUCUCCGCCAGAAAGGACACAAAUAAAACAGAGGAUCCCCCUUCUCCCAUCAGUGAACAAAAUCAAAAGAUUAGAAAAUGUAUUGUAAAUUGUUAGCUUGCAAAAUCUAGAAAUAACAUGGAGUUCUUUCUCUAAAUAUACAUAUUGUUACAGGAAUGAUGUGCAAGGAGGUGGGAAAGAAAGGAAAGUAGAGGGACUGUAUGCCUCAUAAAGAGCCUUCUGGUUUCUUAUACUGUGUAAUGUCCUGAUUUGAUUUUAGAUACACAACAAUGAGAUAUUCAAAAUUACCAGUAUGAUCUUAUAAUUCGGAGUCUAGAAAAAUAACAAAUCUUUGUCAUUCAUUUUCCGUUUAGUUUGGUGCAUAUCUGCAGGUUUGUAGUGCACUGCACUGAAAUAUUAGGAAGGCUCAAAUUUCUUGGUGGCAUAUAUAAAAAAGCAGAGUAUUUUGCAGAAGGCACAUAAAAGUUGUGGCUGUUUGCUGUUGGGGAGGCCCUGUUGCUCCACCCAACUUUUGUAGUCAUUUUUGAAUUGCAGUGCUCAGCAAUGUUCUUUAACCGUAGAGAAUCACCUGUCAUUCUUAAAUAAUGACACUACCUGCUCAUUUAGGAUUUUCUCAAGGUUCCAGCAAUGUCGAUCUGAAUUGUGCUGUCUCUUGUAAAGGCAAGGCUUGUUUGGGAGAACGAACUCUAAAGUGAGCAGUGAAGAUAAUGAAUGGAGAUGUUUUUGUAAAAGAGAAGUCUUAUCUAUAGAACUGCUUCUCUAUGACCAGAUGUUUAUUUAUUUACCCUUUAAAGGAGUAAAAAUUGGUUGUUUGACUCUUUCUUUUUUCAAGGACCUGGCUACGUGUUAAUGUGAAGAGCAGGUUGUUUCCUUGGUGAUCAUGGACGCUACUCCCACAAGGCCGUGGCCUGGGCAAGUAGCUGGAUUGGGUGCUUUGACGAUUGUGAGUGUGCCUCUUUAGCAGUAGGCUUUUUUCAGGGUGUAAAAAAAAAAAAAAAAAAAAGUUAAGUUUAGAAUGUGCAUGUUAUUUCAGAGCUAUGUGAA